GCGGUUAUGGUGGAACGGUAGACACGCUACCUUGAGGUGGUAGUGCACUUACGUGUGUGCGAGUUCAAAUCUCGCUAACCGCACCA
rnacentral:tRNA from 1 species